GUGCCAGCCGCCGCGGUAAUACGUAGGUGGCAAGCGUUGUCCGGAAUUAUUGGGCGUAAAGCGCGCGCAGGUGGUUUAAUAAGUCUGAUGUGAAAGCCCACGGCUCAACCGUGGAGGGUCAUUGGAAACUGUUAAACUUGAGUGCAGGAGAGAAAAGUGGAAUUCCUAGUGUAGCGGUGAAAUGCGUAGAGAUUAGGAGGAACACCAGUGGCGAAGGCGGCUUUUUGGCCUGUAACUGACACUGAGGCGCGAAAGCGUGGGGAGCAAACAGGAUUAGAUACCCUGGUAGUCCACGCCGUAAACGAUGAGUGCUAAGUGUUGGUCUCAUAAGAGAUCAGUGCUGCAGCUAACGCAUUAAGCACUCCGCCUGGGGAGUACGACCGCAAGGUUGAAACUCAAAGAAAUUGACGG
rnacentral:rRNA from 1 species